UCCCUGGAGGACCAGUGGUUAGGCCUCGGCGCUCUCACCUCCACAACCCAGGUUUGAUUCCUUGCCAGGGUA